GGUCCCGUGGUGUAGUGGUUAACAUGCCUGCCUGUCACGCAGGAGAUCGCCGGUUCGACCCCGGUCGGAGCA
rnacentral:tRNA from 1 species